rnacentral:rRNA from 1 species
UACGGAGGAUCCGAGCGUUAUCCGGAAUUAUUGGGUUUAAAGGGUGCGUAGGCGGCCAUUUAAGUCAGCGGUGAAAUUUUGCAGCUUAACUGUAACAGUGCCGUUGAUACUGGGGAGCUAGGAUUUGGUUGCUGUGGGUGGAAUGUGUGGUGUAGCGGUGAAAUGCUUAGAGAUCACACAGAACACCGAUUGCGAAGGCAGCUCACAAAGCCACAUCUGACGCUGAGGCACGAAAGCGUGGGGAGCAAACAGGA